CGUCAAUCUUGGGAGUGGACGAGGAGGCAUUGCUUUGAUUUCAUUGGUCUACUGGAGCCGGGGAGGCUUGCCCGUCUCGUGGAUACGCCAUCCGGUUGAGCGCGCCACCUCCGUCAAUGUUUUGCAUAGGGGAAGUGACAGAGGAGAAGCUUUCCAUCCAACGCGCUGUGGGGAUUUAUUAACUUCAGAGAUCUAAAAGAAUGCUUUUUUAUCUUGCAAGUAAAAUAGCUCUUAACUACCUCUCCACCGCCCUACACUUGAAGGCCUACAUCAAUCAUGGAAAAGGGGCGCAUGCAAUCGAUACCUCUAUAUCGCCGAGCUCCCAGACCAUACGGGAUAUCGAAUAAAUUCCACAGGUGCAGCCAGGUCGCUGUCUCCUCUCCCCUGGCCGGCUCUGGACAGGCAGACUCACGGCACAUGGAAAGCAUCAGCCUGGGUCCGAGCAGGGGAUGCACAGCCUGGAUGAAGACGAAGGGUUUAAAACAGAAGAAACCAAACUACCCUCAGCUGGACGACAAAGGAACUACACGGGCUAAUCGAGUCUGGUCAUUAUUGCAUCUCCUGCAUGGCCCAGUGAUAAAUGGACUAUUCUCAUGGUGGCAGAGUUAUUUUUUAUUGAAAAAAAUAUUAGUCCUUGGUUUUACCGCACAUUUGUAUGAAAAUAGUAAAUCUGCCCAUUACAUGUUUCAGAUGCUUAUAAGCCUGCAAAUCGAUUGCGUCACGUUUAACUUAAAGGCUAUACUUUUCUUUUUGGAAAAUCAACAUUGAUGUUAUUGUUCUAAUUGCAAUUAUACUAUGUUAUCUCUUUCAUUUUAUUUUUGUUUGUGUUUUAAAUGCGUUCUCGUUUUUUAACAUGCAGAAUGAGAAUUGCAUACAAUUAACGUGUAGACCUAUUGGCAAAUAUCCCCUUAAGCCUAUAAAUAAUAAAAGUAAGGGAAAGAAUAUAUAUUUAUAAAUACUAUCGGCUAUUGUUGAUUGCAUUUCUAUUUUUAAUAAUAAAUGUUUUAAUUUUUCAUUGCGAUUUAGGCUAUCACAUUUUUUCGAUUUAUUAAAACCUUUAUGGAAAUACCUAUAACAUUAUUUGGCAUUUGUCUAAUUAUUAUUUUAAGCUAUGGACCAUUCGAAUCAGCGCAAACGACAAUGUAUAGCCCUAUAUUCCUGCAAGUAAUUAUCGUAGACUAUACAUUUAAUUUGGAAAAGCGGUUUAUUUAUUAUUCAUUAAUGUAGGGUAUUAUAACUGCCAUAAGUUCAUCCCAUUAUGUUCCAGCUAUUGGAUAACAUUUAUAUUGCUUCAGUAUGCCUGUAUAUGACAGUGAUAUGUCUAAUUGUGGUUCUAAAGUCUAUUCGAAUUGGAUACAAUUGUGGAUAUGCAAUUGACCCAAUCAUUAUAAUGUCGUUUCAUCUUACAAGCGAUAUAUGUCAAAUGUCUCGUUUCACUAACAUAAACUCAUCAUUUUUUCUUUCACUGCAUUUUUUAUAUUCUGCUCGUUAAUUUACGACGGUGUUCAAAAAAUAUUUAAAUGAUAGUGAAAAAAGAAAAUUCCAAAACAAAUAUAUAAUAUAAGUAAUUGUGCAUAUUUUUUACACGCAUGUUUAUCAAGCAUAAUUAUUUUUCUUCCUAUAUGGUGGAACAGUAGUCUAAACUAAUUUGCUUAAUUCUCAUUCGAUUGAUGUUGGCAAUGUGCAGCGACCCUUCACGGUAAAUAUUGAUGUUGGUGUUGAGUGUCAUCAAGGGAACCGGCUCCUAAAACGAGUUUGUUCGUUCACAUUUCUGAAAUAUGCUUCAAAGCAUCUAAUUUCCCUGCAUUCAUGUUUAGUGUUCUGAUAAGAAAUAUAUAUUUUAAUUUCAAACCAUAAACUAUCCUUUUAAGCACAAACUUGAUGUAUUAAUAUCUUCAGAUGUGCUUGAAAUGUUUCACCGGAACAGUCAGUCUUGUUUUGUUGAAUAGUGAUGAACCUGAACCGAAUGAACCUGU